rnacentral:lncRNA from 10 species
CUGGGAUUACUGUGGACCGAGUUCUUCUCAGGUGUGCCUGAGGCGGCUGUGUCUCCUACUCUGCGAACCAUCUGGUUGUGCUGUCUAAGGAGGCCCCUGAGAAGGCCCACCUUCACCGCUUGUGUUUUCAUUUUCUCCUCUACACCAGGAGAAGUCUGCUGAGCCAUGGUCUGGAAGAUGUCAACCACAGAGGACUCCUGGGCUGUUCUAGGGAGUUGGGCUGUUGUCCUGAGGGCAAUGGAGAGCCACUGACCCAUUUGACGGAAGAGAAUGACCAGAGCAGAUUUGCACCUGUGGAAGAUCUCCCUGGCACAGUGGGGAGCACGGGCUAGAGGGGACAAGGCCAGGGGAUAAACCAGGAGUUGGCAUGAAGGUAAUAAAUUGAGAGAUGGCACUGGGCUGGAUCAGAGUAGCAGUGGCAGGGCUGGAGAAACGUGGAGAGACCAGAGAGAGACUUAGUACCUGGAAGUGACAGCAGUGGUGGUUGUGGACUGAAUGCAGGGGGUGAGUUGAGGAAGGGCUCAGGGGCGACUGCCAGGUCCUGGCUCAGAGAAGCCCCGCAGGACACAGGAAGGAGGGAGUCUUGGGCGGGUGUUGUGGUGGAGAGAUGGCUCUGGGUGGGAACAUCCUGUCUGAGGCUCCUGGUCAAGGGGAGAUGUCCAGAGGCAGCUAGGCCUGGGGCUUCGGGGAGAGAACUGAUUUAGAAUCCAGCAGCCUGCAGAUGUGAACUUCAGCCUGGGGUGUGAGUGGAGAGAAGGGGAGGGGUCUGGGCCAGAGCACGCCUGUGGGAGGUGGUGUCUGCCAAGGGGGUGGGGAAAACAGUGGUGGGAGGUGGGAAGGAAACAGGGAUCAUGGACUUCAGAAAUCAGGGAAGAAUGACUUUGUCAAGGAGGAUGCUCCAGGGUCGCAAAUGCUCCAGAGACGUCAAAGUGAAGAAGGGUCCAUGAGCGUAUAUACCCAUGGGCGUAAAGGAUUCGGCCACUAGGAGGUUGCUGAUGCCUUGCCGAGAUCGGUAUCUGUGCAGCAGUGAAGUGGAAAUCUGGCCCCCCAGCCCUCCUUUCUUUCCAUGUGGUCUCUUUCCUCAUCUCCUUGGACAUCAAGGUGCGGGCUGAGGACAGUUAGCCAGGGCCAUCAUCAUCAAGGGUCGUCACCCACGUAGGUCUUGGCUGGGGCACUAGCUGGGCCUCUGAUAAUUUCACUAGCCUUAGUAACAACUUCAGUAAUGACAUGGGUGCCGCUUCUUCUGUGGGAAACAAAAGAAAGAAAUGACCUGCUAGGAAUGGAGUGUUGAUUCCUGAAUCUGUAGAUCAGUACCAUUCCAUAGAACUUUCUGCUCUGAUGGGAAUGCUCCUUAUUUGCUCUGUCCAAUAUGGGAGCCCCUGGCCACAGGUAGCUAAUGAGUGCUUGAAAUGUGGUUAGUGCAAUUUAGGAGCUAAAUUUUACAACUGAUUUAGUUUGAAUUCAUUAAAGUUA